CAUGCUUACGCAGUUUUAUGGGUGUUAUGUGUAUUUGUGUAGCAUCGCAUCAAGAUUUCCUGCGAUAUCGCUCCCAGCACCCAGGUCCGAUAUCUCAAAGAGCUUUCUACCGGUGGUGUCAAUAUGGGGGAGAUGAUCCCUCCUUUAGAUG